rnacentral:hammerhead_ribozyme from 1 species
AUUCAGCUGACGAGUCCCAAAUAGGAUGAACCGCGCGUCAUGAAC